AGUUGCACCAUGUUCCAGCCUGCUUGCGGGUGUAUUCAUCGUGUGUAGCGUUCUUCAUCGUGCCCUCCUGGUGGUCGAAUUUGGGCUGCUAGGGGGACUCCCUACCAUGUGUCAUGGUAUCACGAUGAUGGAGGUGCGACUCGACCCGUCUUGAAACACGGACCAAGGAGUGUAGCACAGCUGCGAGUCGUAGGGUUUCAAACCUGAGGGCGCAGUGAAAGCGAGUUUUUUAUAAAACGAGCAGUUUGAGGCGGCGUACUAUCGUUGAUUGUAUGUCCGACCUAGAGCAGUUGUGGUACGACCCGAAAGAUGGUGAACUAUACCGGAGGAGGGCGAAGCCAGAGGAAACUCUGGUGGAGGCUCGUAGGGGUGCUGACGUGCAAAUCGCUCGUCCGACUCGGGUAUAGGGGCGAAAGACUCAUCGAACCAUCUAGUAGCUGGUUCCCUCCGAAGUUUCUCUCAGGAUAGCGGCCCGACGUGAUGUUGUCAUGUGCGGUAAAGCGAAUGAUUAGCGCACUCGGGGGCUCUUAGCCUUCGGGCGAUUCUCAAACUUUAAAUGCGCAUGAUGGUGUUGCUGUUUACUUAAGCAGUUUCGUUAGAAACGUCGGGUUCGUGGGCCACUUUUGGUAAGCAGAACUGGCGAUACGGGAUGAACCGUAAAUAUGGUUAAGGCGCCAAAUUGAACGCUUAUAGAUCCCAAAAAAGGUGUUGAUUCAUCGAGACAGCAGGACGGUGGCCAUGGAAGUCGGAAUCCGCUAAGGAGUGUGUAACAACUCACCUGCCGAAUGAAUUAGCCCUGAAAAUGGAUGGCGCUUAAGCGGUCAGCCGACACCAUAUCGUUGUACCAAAUAGUGGUGUAUAAUGAGUAGGAGGGCGUGGCGGUCGUAUCGAAGCGUACGGGCAACUGUGCGUGGAACGGCCGCUAGUGCAGAUCUUGGUGGUAGUAGCAAAUAUUCAAGUGAGAUCCUUGAAGGGCGAAGCGGGGAAGGGUUCCACGCGAACAUUGAUUGAGCGUGGGUGAGUCGUUCCUAAGCCGAGUGGUGAUUGCUAAUUAACGGCGAAAGGGAAGCAGGUUGACAUUCCUGCACACGGAUGUGGAAGCGGCGACGCCCCAAUUUGGGGAGGUUACGUUGGCGGUGGCUCUGGGCAGAGUUGUCUUUUCUGUUUAACCGUCCUGCACGCUGUGUGGAAUCCGCUUGUCGGGAGAAACACGCGUGCACGGGCAUAGCGCCGGGGUUUUACCGGCGUCCAGCUCGCCACCGACGACCCUUGAAACACCUCCUGCUGGGCAAAGCACCUAUGUGUUUUGUU
rnacentral:rRNA from 1 species